rnacentral:misc_RNA from 1 species
GCCGAAACCAAACCAAACCCACUUCAAAUUUCUUCAUUCUUCACACAAAUCCCUUCAAAACCCUCUUUCUUAAUCUCAUUCCUAACAUCUCUACCCUACUUCCUUUAGCUCGUUUCAUUAAAAUGGAGGUGGGAUUGAUGCAGAGACAGUGGGUUCAGUAUAUUAAAGGCUUACUCGGUGAGGGUACGCUGGAUAGUCAGUAUUUGCAGCUUUUGCAACUGCAAGAUGAGAGUAAUCCAACUUUCGUUUCUGAAGUGGUCACUCUUUUCUUUGAAGAUACCGAGGAGCUUCUCAAUAAACUGAGAAUCGCUAUAUCACAG